AACAAAGUCAUAAUUACUUGUUGACAAAUAAAUUCGGUUGGGGGACAGGCCAGGGGAGAGACAUUUUUCCUACAUUAGAGCUGAUUGUGACUAAUUUACAUGAAUUUCUGUAAUAAUUUUGAGUGCCCAGGUAGAAAACAUUUAGUUUUAUAAAAUAAAUAUGUUAUUAUGAAGUAUUAUCUU